rnacentral:rRNA from 1 species
UUGUUGAAAGGGAAGCGCUUGCAGCCAGACUUGCUUGCAGUUGCUCAUCCGGGCUUUUGCCCGGUGCACUCUUCUGUAGGCAGGCCAGCAUCAGUUUGGGCGGUAGGAUAAAGGUCUCUGUCACGUACCUCCUUUCGGGGAGGCCUUAUAGGGGAGACGACAUACUACCAGCCUGGACUGAGGUCCGCGCAUCUGCUAGGAUGCUGGCGUAAUGGCUGUAAGCGGCCCGUCUUGAAACACGGACCAAGGAGUCUAACAUCUAUGCGAGUGUUUGGGUGUCAAGCCCGAGCGCGUAAUGAAAGUGAACGGAGGUGGGAACCCGCAAGGGUGCACCAUCGACCGAUCCUGAUGUCUUCGGAAGGAUUUGAGUAAGAGCAUGGCUGUUGGGACCCGAAAGAUGGUGAACUAUGCUUGAAUAGGGUGAAGCCAGAGGAAACUCUGGUGGAGGCUCGCAGCGGUUCUGACGUGCAAAUCGAUCGUCAAAUUUGGGCAUAGGGGCGAAAGACUAAUCGAACUAUCUAGUAGCUGGUUCCUGCCGAAGUUUCCCUCAGGAUAGCAGUAACGUAUUCAGUUUUAUGAGGUAAAGCGAAUGAUUAGAGGCCUGGGGGUUGAAACAACCUUCACCUAUUCUCAAACUUUAAAUAUGUAAGAAGUCCUUGUUACUUAAUUGAACGUGGACAGUUGAAUGAAACGUUAUUAGUGGGCCAUUUUUGGUAAGCAGAACUGGCGAUGCGGGAUGAACCGAACGAGGGGUUAAAGUGCCGGAAUAUACGCUCAUCAGACACCACAAAAGGUGUUGGUUCAUCUAG